rnacentral:lncRNA from 1 species
AUGGUAAGUUUCUCACACCAGCAUCUGUCCCGCCGCCUCGCCUCUACCUUGAGGCAGGCGCACCUGUCCCCCACCAGAGUGAGAGAGCGCCCCAAGAAGUCUGCUUUGUUCCCCGCCCUGUGCUGGACCUUCCUGCCCGGCCAGGCCCACACUCGCAUUUUCCAGCCUGUUCUGAUGACUCCAGCUCUCGACCUCUCCUCUCAGCUGCUCGCCCUGACCUGCCCGCUCUGUCCAGUGCCCAACAUUAUAGCUUCACUCAUACUAGAAUUGGUUCCCAGAAUUGCGCUCAGCCCUCAAACUACAUUCUCUUUCAGUUCCUCCGGAGAAUGUCCCAGCACAGUCCGGCACCUCCUCCAGACAAAUCUCAGGCUGGAACUCGCCCGCGAGAUUGAGGUUCCUGCUGGGAUGGCCCCCGCCCCUGAGGAGGAGAACUGGACAGUGGUCCGGCAGAGUCUCCAGCAUAAUUUGAAAGGAAGUGGUUUUGUCCAGCCAGCUCGAGAUGUAACUUGCAGCAAAUGAUCUCCCUACUGUGCCGACUCACACUUGAUAAUGACUUCUUAUGGAGACGAGAGGAUCCACAUGUCCCCCUGUGGUGACUGACGUCAUUCUUCUUCCAACUGUAACAGUUCAGAGGACAUAUGACAACUCCCUCUGCAUCUGAAGAUCUGUAUGCACCAUGUAUCUAUGCAUACUGAAGAGACUGAAAAAAGUCAACUAUUUUCUUUAUCAAUAUGGAAAAAUACGUCCCAAACACGGUCUGGGACAAAAUCAUUUUGUAAGAUGAUUUACAACCUUCUUCUGGGAAAAAACUACCAUUCCUGAACAAAAAGGCUUGAACAAUUUUCUGAUAAUCUUUAAUUAGCUUAAGACCUCUUCUGAGAACUUGUAGCCCGGCUCUCAGCCGCCUGUUUGUCAGGAAUCAGAUGGCAUUUCACCAGACGUUGCUUGUUCGUAUAUCCAGUCAAAGAUCACCUGGCCAUCUCUCUUCCUGUAAAACACUCCGACCAGAAGGGAGUCUGACUGGCCUGUGAGAGCUCUUUGCUUGCAGCAGAUGUGGAAUAAAAUGUUGACACCAGCUCA